rnacentral:rRNA from 1 species
AACGUAGGAGGCAAGCGUUGUUCGGAUUCAUUGGGCGUAAAGGGUGCGUAGGCGGCGCGGUAAGUCGGGUGUGAAAUCUCCAGGCUUAACCUGGAAGGGUCGGUUGAUACUGUCGAGCUAGAGUGUGGAAGAGGCAACUGGAAUUCCGUGUGUAGCGGUGAAAUGCGUAGAUAUACGGAGGAACACCUGCGGCGAAGGCGGGUUGCUGGGCCAACACUGACGCUGAGGCGCGAAAGCUAGGGUAGCAAACGGG